rnacentral:rRNA from 1 species
UACGUAGGGUGCAGCGUUAAUCGAAUUACUGGGCGUAAAGCGUGCGCAGGCGGUUUUGUAAGCCAGAUGUGAAAUCCCCGGGCUUAACCUGGGAAUGGCAUUUGGGACUGCAAGGCUCGAGUGCGGCAGAGGAGACUGGAAUUCCUGGUGUAGCAGUGAAAUGCGUAGAUAUCAGGAGGAACACCGAUGGCGAAGGCAGGUCUCUGGGCUGACACUGACGCUCAUGCACGAAAGCGUGGGGAGCAAACAGG